GCUGGGAGUCGCGACUGGCGCACAGAGGUGGAACUGACCACCGGGGAGCGAUGAGCGGGUCGGUGCCGUGCGCCUGGGUGCCUCCG
rnacentral:ncRNA from 13 species